rnacentral:lncRNA from 1 species
CGGGAGUUUCCCCCGGCCGGAAGCACAGGGACUUGGGCCCACAUUCCUGGAUGCCGCGAUUAUUACUCGGCAUCUGUACAGGGAACGUGGGUGCCUGGAACAUCUGGGCUGCCUUUGGACCAAAACGUCUGGGUCAUGUGCCCAGCCUCCCUUUUGUGACCUUCCCAAGGGGGCAGGCCAGGUCGGCAGGGAACUGGAACUAUUUUUGAGAAGGCCACUGGCAGAGGUCGCCUCAUCCACUGCCCAAGUACCCCACAUUCUCUGUUCUCUAGGCCAAGAGUUUGUGGAGCUAUUGAAAUGGGAGUAAGGGAGGAGCAAGGCCAAAGGAGAGGAGGAAGAGUACGCAAACUGGCCUGAUCCAGAUUCUUUCAUUACCGUAUUAGCUGCAUUCUUAACUUGAUGCCAUUCACCAGUUUUAACUCCAUGCUAUUUCUGAACUCAUUACAGUCCAUAAUAUAAAGUUUAACUGGACACUGGUCAGAUGGAGUUCUGAGAAGCACCAAUGAAGACAUCAGUCUGUGAAGACCCUCGUCCACGUCCAAUCCUUGCUAGAUGGUCUUAUCAGUGGUCCUCCUGAUGUCUCAGCCCUCUGAGGAAAGCAUCUGGACCUGGCCUGGCCGAGGGGCACUGCAUGAGGAGCUUUUUCAGGUCACAGGCUGUCUGGGCUUUCUCCGCCUGAGUGGAUGUGUUUGCAAAGUGGAUGAGUGACCUUUCAUUCCUGGACACCCAGAGGGCCAAUCAGUCUGUUCUUGCUCCACUGAGAAAACUGAAUAAAGUGCUUGCCACUUGAAAUGAGAGUAAGGCAUAAAUAACUAUAAAAAUAAGCAAGCCCCAACCCCCUCAAAGCUCAAACACAGUUGAAGCACUUUGUGUUUUAAGGCACCCUGAGUCUGGCAGAUGAAGAAGCCUUUUCUCGUGUUUCCUCCUGCAAUGUGAAAAAUCACUUCACUGGAAAAGAUCUCUGCCAGGCCAGAAAGCCUGUGCACCCCAGCCGCAUGCUGCACCCCCGUCAUGUUCUCUUCUCUCAGAAGUGCUGGGACCAUCGUUUCCACUCGGGUGGCUGGCAGGAUGCUUAUGUAAUCAUCACCUGCCAGGAGCCACUGAUAUACACACUUGUCCUGGACAACCAUGCUACCCUGACAGACGUGAUUGUGAGGCCACAGGACAGCUUUGUCAGAAUAGAUCCUGUAGGAAACACAAACUCCAAAAUGAGAAAGACAAUGAUCUUGGAGAACUCCCAAUGGGAGAGGCUGUUCUUUGGGGGCUCUGCCACCCAGCAGUCCCCCCAAGUAAGCGCUAAUGCUGCAGCAAAGUGUAAGCAACCACUACUUUUGCAUUUAAAGGCUAGUAAGUCAGACCCUGUAUAUAUGACCAUAAUAAACAAUUUCUGUAAUUUUGGUAA